AACGAACGCUGGCGGCAGGCUUAACACAUGCAAGUCGAACGCCCCGCAAGGGGAGAGGCAGACGGGUGAGUAACGCGUGGGAACAUACCCUUUCCUGCGGAAUAGCUCUGGGAAACUGGAAUUAAUAACGCAUACGCCCUACGGGGGAAAGAUUUAUCGGGGAAGGAUUGGCCCGCGUUGGAUUAGCUAGUUGGUGGGGUAAAGGCCUACCAAGGCGACGAUCCAUAGCUGGUCUGAGAGGAUGAUCAGCCACAUUGGGACUGAGACACGGCCCAAACUCCUACGGGAGGCAGCAGUGGGGAAUAUUGGACAAUGGGCGCAAGCCUGAUCCAGCCAUGCCGCGUGAGUGAUGAAGGCCUUAGGGUUGUAAAGCUCUUUCACCGAUGAAGAUAAUGACGGUAGUCGGAGAAGAAGCCCCGGCUAACUUCGUGCCAGCAGCCGCGGUAACAC
rnacentral:rRNA from 1 species